GACGAACGCUGGCGGCGUGCUUAACACAUGCAAGUCGAACGAAGUGGCGAACGGGUGAGUAACGCGUAAUCAACCUGCCCUUCAGAGGGGUACCACAGUUGGAAACGACUGCUAAUACCGCAUACUGAAGGAUGGGUUUGCGUCUGCUUAGGUAGUUGGGGGGGUAACUGCCCACCAAGGCGAUGAUCAGUAGCCGGUCUGAGGGGAUGAACGGCAACAUUUGGAUUGAGAAACGCCCCAGACUCUUACGUGAGCCAGAAGGGGGGAAGCUUCCGCAAUGGACGAAAGUCUGAGCCAGCCAUGCCGCGUGUGUGAAGAAGGUCUUCGGAUUGUAAAGCACUUUAAGUUGGGAGGCGUUACCAACAGAAUAAGCACCGGCUAACUUCGUGCCAGCAGCCGCGGUAAUUC
rnacentral:rRNA from 1 species